UUAAAACACUGGUUCUCGUUCAAUUGCCGAAGUUAAGCUACACCGAGCCUGGUCAGUAUCUAGAUAGGUGACCGCUUGAGAAUAUCAGGUGCUGUAAG